UGGGCUGUCGGUACCGGUGCUGCUCACCUCCAGACGCGUGAACGCGGCGUGCACCUCCUCAGGCUAUGUGAAACUUGGUUCUCUCUUGGACCCAUGGGAGGUGAUGCUUUUUUGACAUACUUCUGAAAUAUAUAACCUGGAUUAUUGCAAUGGCCAAAACCAAGAAAGACUUGACUCCUCUUAAAAAGGCACAGCUGAUUCCAGGAGAAGUUGACAAAGGUUUGCUUCACUAAAACAUAUCCUAGCAAAGUUACUGGACUUCAGAGAUAAAGACUCUUUGGGGCAGUCGGGCACAAA